CCUACGGGAGGCAGCAGUGGGGAAUAUUGCGCAAUGGGCGAAAGCCUGACGCAGCGACGCCGCGUGAGGGAUGAAGGCCUUCGGGUUGUAAACCCUCUUUCAGCAGGGACGAAAUCAGACGGUACCUGCAGAAGAAGCACCGGCCAACUACGUGCCAGCAGCCGCGGUAAUACGUAGGGUGCAAGCGUUGUCCGGAAUUAUUGGGCGUAAAGAGCUCGUAGGCGGUUUGUCGCGUCGGCUGUGAAAACUCGGGGCUCAACCCCGAGCCUGCAGUCGAUACGGGCAGACUAGAGUGCUGUAGGGGAGACUGGAAUUCCUGGUGUAGCGGUGAAAUGCGCAGAUAUCAGGAGGAACACCGGUGGCGAAGGCGGGUCUCUGGGCAGUAACUGACGCUGAGGAGCGAAAGCGUGGGGAGCAAACAGGAUUAGAUACCCUGGUAGUCCACGCCGUAAACGGUGGGUGCUAGGUGUAGGUCGUAUUCCACGCGAUCUGUGCCGCAGCUAACGCAUUAAGCACCCCGCCUGGGGAGUACGGCCGCAAGGCUAAAACUUAAAUGAAUUGACGG
rnacentral:rRNA from 1 species